rnacentral:rRNA from 1 species
GACAGAGGGUGCAAACGUUGUUCGGAAUUACUGGGCGUAAAGCGUGUGUAGGCGGUUUGGCAAGUCGGAUGUGAAAGCCCCGGGCUCAACUCGGGAAGUGCACUCGAUACUGCUAAACUUGAGUGUCGGAGAGGUUGGUGGAAUUCUCGGUGUAGAGGUGAAAUUCGUAGAUAUCGGGAGGAACACCAGUGGCGAAGGCGGCGACCUGGACGGACACUGACGCUGAGACGCGAAAGCGUGGGGAGCAAACAGG